GGACCCACAUGUGCCACUUGUUA
rnacentral:siRNA from 1 species